AGUGAACGCUGGCGGUAGGCCUAACACAUGCAAGUCGAACGGCAGCACAGUAAGAGCUUGCUCUUACGGGUGGCGAGUGGCGGACGGGUGAGGAAUACAUCGGAAUCUACUUUUUCGUGGGGGAUAACGUAGGGAAACUUACGCUAAUACCGCAUACGACCUACGGGUGAAAGCAGGGGAUCUUCGGACCUUGCGCGAUUGAAUGAGCCGAUGUCGGAUUAGCUAGUUGGCGGGGUAAAGGCCCACCAAGGCGACGAUCCGUAGCUGGUCUGAGAGGAUGAUCAGCCACACUGGAACUGAGACACGGUCCAGACUCCUACGGGAGGCAGCAGUGGGGAAUAUUGGACAAUGGGCGCAAGCCUGAUCCAGCCAUACCGCGUGGGUGAAGAAGGCCUUCUGGUUGUAAAGCCCUUUUGUUGUGAAAGAAAAGCAGCAGGUUAAUACCCCGCUGUUCUGACGGUACCCAAAGAAUAAGCACCGGCUAACUUCGUG
rnacentral:rRNA from 1 species